UUGGAGGGCAAGUCUGGUGCCUGCAGCCGCGGUAAUUCCAGCUCCAAUAGCGUAUAUUAAAGUUGUUGCAGUUAAAAAAGCUCGUAGUUGAACUUCAGACCUGACCGGGUGGUCCGCCUAACGGUGUGUACUGUCUGGCCGGGCCUUACCUCUUGGUGAGCCGGCAUGCCCUUAAUUGGGUGUGUCGGGGAACCAGGACCUUUACCUUGAGAAAAUUAGAGUGUUCAAAGCAGGCUUACGCCGGAAUACAUUAGCAUGGAAUAAUAAAAUAGGACGUGCGGUU
rnacentral:rRNA from 1 species